rnacentral:rRNA from 1 species
CCGACGGUGAGGGAUGAAAGCUGGGGGAGCAAACCGGAUUAGAUACCCGGGUAGUCCCAGCCGUAAACGAUGUGCGUUAGGUGUAUCGGUGACCACGAGUCACCGAGGUGCCGAAGAGAAAUCGUGAAACGUACCGCCUGGGAAGUACGGUCGCAAGGCUGAAACUUAAAGGAAUUGGCGGGGGAGCACCACAACAGGUGGAGCCUGCGGUUUAAUCGGACUCAACGCCGGGAAACUCACCAGAUAAGACAGCUGAAUGAUAGUCGGGCUGAAGACUCUACUUGACUAGCUGAGAGGAGGUGCAUGGCCGUCGUCAGUUCGUACUGUGAAGCAUCCUGUUAAGUC